ACAAUAAAUUGUGGCUAGGGAUGCUGGGAGCUGUAGUUCAGUAACAUCUGGAGGGCCACAGUUUGGGGAAGCCUGGUCUAAAGGGAGUAAGCAGGUCUAUACAGCUGAAAUGUGACAGAAUUCCUUGCCUGUGUAAACAGAAGUUGUUGAUUCGUAACAACCGCCCUGAAGGGGCAACCUCAGGCACCUCCCACUGCAUCCAAACCUUGGAUUUAUAUUUCUACCUUUCGUCCUUGAGGAGUUGAUGUUGCCUUUCAAAGGGUUCCUGUCAGAAACUUCCCAGCAGCAGCCACAACUGGAAAGGAAACUGUGUGCCAUUGGUUCUGUGAAAGCUUGGUAAGUCCCUCCCAAAGGAGGAGUUCACAAGUUCCUUCUUCCAAUGCUCUGUUUACCAUAAGCACGAUUAAACUCUUGGAAACUUUGAUUUUUUUUUUAAGUCCAUAGAUUGAAGGGCUUGUGACAAAGCAGAUUGUGCUCUUCAAUAGGCAAGCCUGCUUUUAAAAAAUUGAAUUGAAAAUCAAAAUUCUGUAACACUGCUUACCUAUUCACAGGAGAAAUUACUUUGCACUCCAGAAGCAGGAAGUAGCAAGAAUUAACAGCUGCACACGAGGCCGGAGUUCUGCCAAGUGGUAACAGAAGGGGAUUAAGGAAGGGAAAAUGCAGACAGCAUUUCCAAUUCCAAGGUUGCUUUUAUCUGUUCUGAGAACAAAACUACACCUGAGAUUUCCCCCACUUAAAUUUUAAAAAACCAAAAUGUAGUUGUGGAGAGUGUAGGUUGCCACAGGAGGCUGCUGCAGUGGAGAAGGGGAUUCGUCUUCUUUUAAUUUAAUUUUUAUUAAUCAGUUUUGCAUAUCUUUUUAAAGAAAAGAAAAGAAAAACACCAAUAAAGUAGUUUCAUAAGAAAAGGUAGCAAUAAUAUGGCAAGAAGUUAACAUUACAGGGGAUAUCUACCAGUCACAUGGCCACCAGAAACAUAAAAAUUCACUAAAAGGGUGUAUUAUUCUGAUUUCAGGGAGAAAGAACAUCCAUCCCAAAAUAUAAAAUGUCAGAGAAGGGAAUUCUUAAUUCUUCUCCACCCUUUACAUAUUUUUUACUAUGCUGGUACCUGAACUUUUCUUCUGUGGAACAAAAAGCAGUUCUCAGGAGACACCCUGCUGUGACACAGAGUUUUUCCAGGCCCAAUCUCUUCUGUGAGAUCCCACUAUCACCCAUACUGCAGCCAUAAUUUAUGACUAUCAUGACAGGCACACUGACUUGCAGGACUCCACUGAGAACGGAAACAAAUGUGGAUGUGGUGGAGCCGGAGGCCAUGCUCGAAGCGCAAAGUCCCUGACCAAGUCUACUGAAGUCUACUGACGAUGAAAGACUGAGGGGAUGAGGAGAGGCACAGACACAUAUAGUGGCUGGGAGCGGGGUUUCCUCCAGAAGCAGGAGAUGAAACUUGGAAGAUACCAAUUAGUGGUCUCCAUGCAUGCACAAAGCCGAGAGGUGUAAAAGACAGAAGCUACCUCGAAGAACAAGAUGUUCUCUCCCACCCCAAAUGGCUUACCAUGGGCAUGUAAUAGAAACCACCUCACCACAGAAAGCCCAUUCAUUUCUGGGGAUUUUUCUACCCUGUGUCAUAUUUUUAUUAAUUUCAUAAAUAUCAUGACUGGUGAGGGACCAUACCUGUGGAUAUAUCAUGUAGCAGAGUGCAGGUAAGAGUUUGACAACAGGAGUUUAGCUCGGAUUGCGGUGGUUUGCUUGUUUAUGCACCUUUAUGUAGCUGGGGUGGAGAUCUAACCCAAAAUUUGGAUGAGGGUUAACACUUCCAUGCUUUCUCCCUGCCCCUAGAAUGCUAAGGGCUAGAAAUAUGCUGGGUAUUCUCAUUAUACCAGUGCAAACACUUUACCAUGCCUACAUGCCAGCAUUUGCAACUGCAAUUCUUGUUAUUUGAUCUCUACUACAUUCACCAGUAGGCAGAAGAAAGCUACAAAUACUUUUCAUGAAAAAAGGGUGUGUGUGUAUACAGUGUGUGUAUGUAUGUAUACACACAAUAUUUUGUUUAACAUAUUUACAAUAAAACAAUACAAAUUAGAACAAAAUUAAAAUGUUUGAACAGUAAAAGGAUAUUUUACUGUUUUAAAUGUUUAUUAUCACUAUGUUUUCAAUUUUGUCAAUUUUUUUUAAUUAAUUCUAAUUUCAGCCUGUUUAUUAUAUACACUCAAUUUAUUGUUAUAUAACUGUAAUCUUUCUCUUCUGUUUUGGCUUGUGGCUGUAACAUUAAAAAGAACUUGAACACUACAAUAAUUUAAAAUGUAGAGAAAAGUUAAAAACUGUAAAUCUAAUUAAAAGCCUGGGUGAAGAAA